AAAGUUAGUGGCGGACGGGUGAGUAACGCGUGGGUAACCUGCCUUGUACUGGGGGACAACAGUUGGAAACGACCGCUAAUACCGCAUAAGCGCACAGGACCGCAUGGUCCAGUGUGAAAAACUCCGGUGGUAUAAGAUGGACCCGCGUUGGAUUAGCUGGUUGGUGGGGUAACGGCCUACCAAGGCGACGAUCCAUAGCCGGCCUGAGAGGGUGAACGGCCACAUUGGGACUGAGACACGGCCCAGACUCC
rnacentral:rRNA from 1 species